AACUUUUACAUGUGUCUGGGUGGUAACACGUGUUCUUACAGUGUGUCAGACUGCGAAAUGUAACGACAUUAGAUUUGGUCCGAAAUCGAAAGACUCGGGCAAAUUAAGCUCAUCAUCCACACCAACUGUGUGGUGCAGGCGGCAGCUGAUAGUUGCUCAGAAUGUCAUUAUGUGAAGUCUGACUGCUUAUCGUUGCAGCUUACGGCGGAAGACGAGGAACGUAGAAGGCGUCGUCGAGAGAGGAACAAGAUAGCGGCCACCAAGUGUCGAUUAAAGAAGAGAGAACGCACAGUUAACCUGGUGCAGGAAUCAGAAGUUCUCGAAAACCAGAACCAAGACUUGAAGAACCAGAUACAAGAACUGGAGACUCAGAGGCGUCGGCUGAUGGACAUGCUUUCGAUGCACAAGCCCACGUGUAUGAAGAACCUGCCUUACAGUCCAGACAACGCUGCUGCCACCUACUGUGGGGACCCCGCGACAUCCAUCGCAGCAGCUUUCUGUAACGACACCACCACGACCACUUCCUCCGGUGGGUAUCACCACUACAGUGGGGUUUACACGGACAACGGGUGCAUGGCGUAGUUGCCAUGUGAGUGUACGCAAAUGAGGGCACGGAGUGAAAUAUUUAAAAUGUUUCGACCACUAGGUGACAAUAAAGAAGCCACUACAUAAAUUGUAAACAGUUUGAGUCUUGCAGACGAAGAAAAUGUGAGAAUUCGGAGUAUUUUGUUUAUGAAACAGCAGUUUUCUCAAAGACAAGUGAACACUAAUGCCGAUGGCACGAGAGAACUCCCUCGUACUAAAAGUGCAACUUAAGAAAGGACCUUCUUUUAGGUUCUUCAGGUGACAGCUUAAGGAAGUGCGUUGAUCGUGGCAACAGAUGCUACGAGUUACAAGACACUGGACAGAGACUUGGAGCAUUCCGCCAUUUUAGUUUUGAAGACGGCAAA